rnacentral:rRNA from 1 species
UACGUAGGGGGCAAGCGUUGUCCGGAAUCAUUGGGCGUAAAGCGCGUGUAGGCGGGUCGGUAAGUCCGCUCUGAAAGCCCGGGGCUCAACCCCGGGAGGCGGGUGGAUACUGUCGACCUCGAGUCCGGAAGAGGCGAGUGGAAUUCCUGGUGUAGCGGUGAAAUGCGCAGAUAUCAGGAGGAACACCAAUGGCGAAGGCAGCUCGCUGGGACGGUACUGACGCUGAGACGCGAAAGCGUGGGGAGCAAAUAGG